UAAAAACCGACUCUUAAACCGGCUCCGAGAUCUUCUGUGUGAAUUCAGACUGGAAGGCAGAAUGUUACCCUUCCUUGUUUUUGUGGUGGUAUUAAGUUAAAUGUAGUUAGUAAGAAGAUAUACAUGUUGUUUGUAUUGAAAAUGUAUUAGUUCAGGUGAGUUACAGUGAGAGACACGCCGAAGCAGGCCGCAGGGUGAAGAUACACGGUCAAGUCCACUGCAGUGAACUUUCAGCCUCAUCGCACACAGUAUGACUGCAAAUCAAUCCCUGCUAUAUCUAUCCAUUAUCACCCAAAUGAGGAUGGGUUCCCUGUUGAGUCUGGUUCCUCUCAAGUUUUCUUCCUAUUGCCAUCUCAUGUGUUUUUCAUUGCCACUGUUGACCCUUGGCUUAUAAGAAAACGGCAGCAGUUCAGUUUUCAGCUCUAUUUAUUGCCC